CUGGGCUAUAGAGAGUUGGUUCUGCUGC
rnacentral:piRNA from 1 species